rnacentral:rRNA from 1 species
GGAAGUUUAAAAAAAUUCUUUUUUAAAAUUAAAAAUUGAAUUUUUUUUAAUUUGUGAAUAAACAAUUAUAAAAAUUAAAGACAAGAAGACCCUAAGAAUUUGAAGAUCAAAUAAAUAAAAAAUUUUUUAUUUAUUUGAUCUUGAUUGGGGCGAUCAAAAAAUAUUAAUAACUUUUUAAAUUAAAAUGAUCUAUUAAUAAUAAACUAAUGAAAUAAAUACUCUAGGGAUAACAGCGUAAUAAUUUUUGAUAGAUCUUAUAGACAAAAUAGUUUGCGACCUCGAUGUUGGAUUAGGAUUCUUAUUUAAUGAAGAUGUUAAAUAAAGAAGUU